GAUUGCCCUAGUAACGGCGAGUGAAGCGGCAACAGCUCAAUUUGAAAGCUGGCCUUCGGGUCCGCAUUGUAAUUUGUAGAGGAUGCUUUGGGUGAAACGCCAGUCUAAGUUCCUUGGAACAGGACGUCAUAGAGGGUGAGAAUCCCGUAUGUGACUGGAAAUGUUAACCUAUGUAAAGCUCCUUCGACGAGUCGAGUUGUUUGGGAAUGCAGCUCUAAAUGGGAGGUAAAUUUCUUCUAAAGCUAAAUAUUGGCGAGAGACCGAUAGCGCACAAGUAGAGUGAUCGAAAGAUGAAAAGCACUUUGGAAAGAGAGUUAAAAAGCACGUGAAAUUGUUGAAAGGGAAGCGCUUGCAAUCAGACUUGUUUAAACUGUUCGGCCGGUCUUCUGACCGGUUUACUCAGUUUGGACAGGCCAGCAUCAGUUUCGGCGGCCGGAUAAAGGCUCUGGGAAUGUGGCCUUCACUUCGGUGAAGGUGUUAUAGCCCAGGGUGUAAUACGGCCAGCCGGGACUGAGGUCCGCGCUUCGGCUAGGAUGCUGGCGUAAUGGUUGUAAGCGACCCGUCUUGAAACACGGACCAA
rnacentral:rRNA from 1 species